CCUAGCACUUGCGUGCUAGGCUGAGUUAUGUCGUCCCCUUGGGACU
rnacentral:ncRNA from 1 species